ensembl:lncRNA
GCUUCGUCUCAUCUUCAAACUUACUGAGGCUGCCUAGAAAGCAGCACGGAGAGCAGUGUGUGAAGCACAGAGACAAAGGAAAACAGCAUGGCUUUGGAGGAGUGGGAGCCAGCUUCCCCGUGGGCUUUGAAGAUGCAAACUCCAAUCCUAUCAGUACGGGUUGGUUUCUGCCUGCUCCCGGUGCUUUAAAAGUAUGACUGGGGAGAAGGAAGCGCCUGAGAGUGGCUGUCAUGCCGUGGUCCUGCUGGCUGCUGGCUGCUGCUCUUUGCCAUGGCAACAGUUGUGUUGUCUUUAUUGCUUUCAACCUUUUCACAUUCUUGCUGUGCUUCCUCUUGAUUUGCUGACACAGGCUGUCACUUAGCAGUAAUAAAGCUGUCAAUGGUAUCAGCGACCAAUCUUUUAAUAUGGUAUCAGAAAGUCUGACAAGAGCAUAGGGGUGCCGGAUUUCCAAUGACAAGUUAAUUUAUUCAAAGCACUCUGAACAUUAUUUCCAUUCCUAUGGCACGCAAAUGAUGCCCAGCAAGGCUGGUGUCUGCUGGAUGGGAUGCAGACGGCGGAAGAAUUUGGCACGCGGUGAUCCUGUAGGUAUUCCAUGGGCUGAAAGCAGAAUUAACUCACUAGUGCGAGGGGAAGAUGCAGAUCCAUGCCCUUGUAUCCUCUCAGAGAUCUCCCCUAUUGCCAGAGGAAAAGCUCCAGCUGUAGUGCAGAGGCCUGGCAUCACUUUACCUCUUGGAGCACAUUAGAUUGUGUGAGAGGAUCAGCAUUGCUUCUGGAUACUAGAUGUAACCUUUUCAUCUCAGCACAGCAAAGCCAAGGAAUCGGGAUACGAGACAGCUCCUGAAGCUAGGUGCUCACCCCGGGAAUGACAAAAUGGAUCCCACAGCCUCCUUCUGCAAUGGUGCCUUCUUCAACCAGUGAGGGGAAGAGGAAUGCCUAUGGUGCAAAGCUGAGAGUUCGGACCUCAUCCUGCGGACAGCGAUGGCAUGCACCAGAUUACUAUGAGACACCACAAGUCAUGUGAGACUACCUGCCUGCCCUUGUGGGGUUCUCAAAGGGAUUUGGUGAAGGUGGGUGCUAUUGCUCCUGUGUGGUACACAGAACUGAACUGUGAGGGAGAAUGAAAUAGCAAGUUGUUCUGAAAGUGUAUCCCUUGGCUAUCUGAUCAUCUCUGAAGACCUCAGGGAUUGGAUUUGAGAAGGCAUUGCUUAAUUAGCUCAUCAGACUCAUUGAACCUGGAAGGAAUUGGGUUUUAAUUCACUUUUCGUAAUAUGCUUUGCUUUUAUGAACCUUAUGUGAAGCACUCACUCUGUAAAUAAAUUAUAUUUGCCUUCUUUUUUCUUAUUCUCCCCACACUGGUCCCAUCUAAUACUCACUUGAGUUGCAUUUAAAAAGUGAAUAAUCACAAACAGGAAAGACCAAAGCUCUUUAGUUUAAACAAACCUUAUUCUGGAGCAGCAAAUAUAGUUUCCUCUCAAUGAAACAAGACUAAGCAGUCUUUGGAGGCAUUCUUAUUAAUGUAGGAAAAAGGUUAUUACAUCAUUACUUUCUGUCUGCCCUAGUAGCUAGGGACUACCUAAAGAUAGAAGGUUAACUCAAUGAUAUAUCAGUCAGGUAUCUGCAGCUGGGACUUAAGCGGAAUUCAAGGCACCUCUCCAGAGAGCAGUGAAAUACUGUGCAGAGAUAUCUCUGCUAAUGAUGUCUGAGAGAGUUUGGUUGUUGGAAGCAAGGCAGAAAAACAAGCAUGGCCAUAUUAUUGUAUGAUGAGGCUGCCUAGAGGCAGAGGAUUGCUCACUGCUGUUAGCCUCAGUCCUGGUAAGGGACUGUGCCCAUCAGGGAAACUUGUGAUGCUGAAGUACAUUGUCUGAGACAUCUGUUAUUGCCAGCAUAACUCUUUCAUACCUGUAAUUCACCACCUCUGAUGGAUUUAGGCAUUAGACUAUCCUUGCCAGCAGAGGGUUGCGCAGACUACGUGCUGCUGAAUUCUCUCCAGUAGCAGAUGGAACCAAUGCAGACAUUGAAAGGACAUCCAGCCCCCUAGCACCAGCCACCCAAGAGGGGCUGCUUGCUAGGCUUUAGCUGGAGGAUGUGACUGAAAUAUCCUUCUUCUGUUCAAUCUGGAGCUGGGAUUUCAUAGAAUCUUAGAAUCAUUAAGGUUGGAAAAGACCACUAAAAUCAUCUAUUCCAACCGUCAAAUCAAUGACUGUAGCAUUUCUAAAAAAAGUACUGAAAUCUCCAGGCUACUGGACAAAGCUAUGAUAUUUUGAGAGUUUACUCAAUACUGUGUCAGGCUAUUAAAUGCCAUUGCAGGAAGGACAGCCUUGUAUUCAGAGUACUCACCUGAGAAGUCAUGGAUCUGACAAUCUAACAGUAUUUGUUUGGUUUACACACAAAAUGGAAGAGCUUCAAGCAUAGAAAGAGAAAAAUCCACUGUAGAGUUUCUUAGACUCCCUGGGGAUUGUGGCAGGCAGUAUGCCUGAACACAGCACUUAAAAAUUCAAGGCUAAUGCUGCAUCCAGCCAUCUCCCUAUUACCCUGUGGGGUCUGCAUCUCUACGUUUAUUAAAAAUGACCCGAACCAAAGUGAAGUGAUUUGUUUCAGGUUAAGCAAAACAUCUCAUUCAAAUCAAAUGCAC